rnacentral:rRNA from 1 species
GAUGAACGCUGGCGGUAUGCUUUACACAUGCAAGUCAUACGGAAGUUAGUUUCGGCUAACUUCAGUGGCGGACGGGUGAGUAACACGUGAGAAUUCGCCUUUAGGAGGGGGAUAACAGGGGGAAACACCUGCUAAAACCCCAUAUGCCUUCGGGUCAAAAGAGAAAUCUGCCUAAAGAGAAGCUCGCGGCUGAUUAGCUAGUUGGUAGGGUAAAGGCCUACCAAGGCGACGAUCAGUAGCUGGUCUGAGAGGAUGAUCAGCCACACUGGAAUUGAGACACGGUCCAGACUCCUACGGGAGGCAGCAGUGAGGAAUUUUCUGCAAUGGGCGAAAGCCUGACAGAGCAAUACCGCGUGAGGGAAGAAGGCUUACUGAGUUGUAAACCUCUGUUACCUAAGGAGGAAGAUCUGACGUUACUUAGGAGACGAAGCAUCGGCUAACUCCGUGCCAGCAGCCGCAGUAACAC